rnacentral:sRNA from 1 species
CCUGCAUUUCAAGUUGCAUAUACCGAUGUAGAACUUGAGAAGUUAUUUUUUCGAAGGAAUAAAUCUUUAGAAGUAAGAACAAGGAAAAUGCCAGAGUAAAUCAACGAAAAGGAAAAUGUACCACAAAACAGUGGUAUAGUGGUCUUUCUUUUCCUUCUCCAACUGCAUCAAAUGUGGCCAUUACUGGAGCGAGAAAACCAUACACCACACCAAUUAGGACACUUCCCACGAUCCCGACAAUGAGCCAUAAGACUAAAAUCACAGAUGCGGCGACAAGAAGAAGCAGCUUUACAACAGGCCCGACAAGCUUGGAUCUGCUUUCCGAAAAAAAGAUGACAAGCAUAUAUAAGUACAGUUUUCAUAAUUAUGUGGUAAUUCUCUUUGGAACGGAUCUGUACUGAGUUGUGAAUCCUAAACCUGAUGAUGCAGUAGUAUGUCCAGAUCACAUGCAUAGGCCAUAAGCCAAGAACGAGUGCAGAGAUUCCGAUCAUCAUGAUAAGCCAUGCCCAUGGGAAGAGCAAAGCACCUGCAUAGGCAAAAUUAACACGUAGGGAGGAAUUGCAAGUCAGAAUCUGAGGUUCAAAAAUGGGAACAUGGGACGGCAAAAAUUACUAAGUAGUAUUUGAUCAUAUGCUGAAAAGGCAUUUAAGUUCGUACAACGAUUUUGCAUUCUGGAAUUUACAGAUACCUAGUACCGUACUUCAAUUCCCCUUUUGCAAUGGACAGUUGCAAUCAGUCUAAAUGAAGUGCAAGUGACGAACUCCAGCUGAACCAGAACAAAAAAAAAAAGAGAGGCUAAAAUCCAAAAAACUUUAACUAAUCAGCC